rnacentral:tRNA from 1 species
GCUGGUGUAGCUCAGAGGAAGAGCGAGCGCCUUGUAAGCGCUAGGUCGAGAUUUCAAAAUUCUCCAUCAGCUCCA